CGCGUGAGGAGGCAGAGGCCUCUGGGGUGGGAUCGCGGGCCGUAAGUGGCUGUGGAGCUGGGGACACUGCGCGGUGGGACCAUGGCCUCGGAGAAGCCGCUGGCGGCAGUCACUUGUACAGCGCCGGUCAACAUCGCGGUCAUCAAGUACUAAGCCGCCACCACGACUGGCUAAUUUUUUUGUGUUUCCCUUACCAAUAAAGCUGCCAUAAAAUGUU
rnacentral:sRNA from 1 species